AACGAACGCUGGCGGCGUGCCUAACACAUGCAAGUCGAACGCGAAAAGGGGGGCAACCCCCGGUAGCGUGGCAGACGGGUGAGUAACACGUGGGUAACCUACCCGGAGGUGGGGGAUAACCCUUCGAAAGGAGGGCUAAUACCGCAUGACACCGCGGGGACUUCGGUCCUUGCGAUCAAAGCUGGCCUCUGUUUACAAGCUAGCGCCACCGGAUGGGCCCGCGCCCCAUUAGCUAGUUGGUGAGGUAACGGCUCACCAAGGCGACGAUGGGUAGCCGGCCUGAGAGGGCGAUCGGCCACACUGGAACUGCGACACGGUCCAGACUCCUACGGGAGGCAGCAGUGAGGAAUCUUGCGCAAGUGGGCGAAAGCCUGACGCAGCGACGCCGCGUGGAGGAUGAAGGUCUUCGGAUUGUAAACUCCUGUCGA
rnacentral:rRNA from 1 species